CAUUAAGAAGCUAAAUUAGCAUUAACCUUUUAAGUUAAAGAUUGAAAGCCCAGACUUUCCUUAAUGG
rnacentral:tRNA from 1 species